rnacentral:lncRNA from 1 species
AUAAAAAUAAAUUAUAAAUUAACCUUAUAGAAAUAUUUAUAAUAAAAAAAUCUUAAAAUAUAUCAAAGAAAUCUUAAAGAAAUAUUAAAAAUAAUCAUCUUAAUUUAAUCCUAAUUAAAUUCUAAUGUAAUCCUCAAAAAAUUUAAAAAAAUCCUAAUCAAAACUUAAAAAAUCCUAGUAAAAUCCUAAAUCCUAAUUUCACACCAAAUAUUAAUGAAAUUCUAACCAAAUUCUAAAUCAAACCUUAAUCAGAUCCUAUAUUCAAACUAAAUUUUAAUUAAAUCCUAAAUCCUAUUUUUAGAUCAAAUAUUAAUAAAAUUCUAAACCAACCUUAAUAAAAUCUUUAUUAAAUCCUAAAUAUUAACUAAAUCUUAAUCAAAUCUUAAAUUUUAACUGAAUCCUAAGAAAAUCUUAAUCAAUUACUAUAGGUAUUUUAAAAUCUAAAUAAAUAUUAAAUAAAUCCUUGAUCUUUACUAAAAUUUUACAUAUGCUUUGAUCCACAAGCAAUUUAUAAGCAUACAAAAUUUGAGAAGAAUCAAAUCACUAAUUGAAAGAAAGCUUUCAAAACCUCUUGGAUGUUGGCUAUCUUCUCUUUCUAAUUUGAAUAUUGAUCUUCUAACAACAAUGAUUUCUCCUUGAUGAAUCUCUUAAUUGCUCCACUAUUUAGUUGAUAUAUAGGUAUUUAAGUCUAAACUGAUCUCAUUAAUUUUUACUUCAAUCAAACUAGUAGAUGUUGCAAGAUCACAAAAAUCCUCCCUAAUCCUAAAUCUCAAUUAUCCAUGAUCAUAACCUACAAUAACUCUCAUUGCUUGUAAUCUAAUUACUCAAUUGAUAUAAAAAUUUUCACAUAUAU